GGGCGCUUAACUCAGCGGUAAGAGUGUCACGUUUACACCGUGAAAGUCGUAGGUUCGAAUCCUACAGUGCCCA
rnacentral:tRNA from 1 species